rnacentral:rRNA from 1 species
UAGUCCACGCCGUAAACGAUGGAUACUAGCUGUUGGAGCUUCGGCUUCGGUGGCGCAGCAAACGCAUUAAGUAUCCCGCCUGGGGAGUACGAUCGCAAGGUUGAAACUCAAAGGAAUUGACGGGGGCCCGCACAAGCGGUGGAGCUAUGUGGUUUAAUUCGAUGCAACGCGAAGAACCUUACCUGGGCUUGAACUGUUAAUGAUCGUGCCAGAGAUGGCAUUUUUCCUUCGGGACAUUAUCAGAGGUGCUGCAUGGCUGUCGUCAGCUCGUGUCGUGAGAUGUUCGGUUAAGUCCGGCAACGAGCGCAACCCUUAUCUUUAGUUGCCAGCACGUAAUGGUGGGAACUCUAAAGAGACUGCCCGGGCUAACCGGGAGGAAGGUGGGGAUGACGUCAAGUCCUCAUGGCCCUUACGUCCAGGGCUACACACGUGCUACAAUGGUAGGUACAGCGAGAAGCGAAGCGGCGACGUGAAGCAGAUCUCAAAAAACCUNUACUC